CCUACGGGUGGCAGCAGUGAGGAAUAUUGGUCAAUGGACGAGAGUCUGAACCAGCCAAGUAGCGUGAAGGAUGACUGCCCUAUGGGUUGUAAACUUCUUUUAUAUGGGAAUAAAAUGUUCCACGUGUGGGAUUUUGUAUGUACCAUAUGAAUAAGGAUCGGCUAACUCCGUGCCAGCAGCCGCGGUAAUACGGAGGAUCCGAGCGUUAUCCGGAUUUAUUGGGUUUAAAGGGAGAGUAGGUGGAUUGUUAAGUCAGUUGUGAAAGUUUGCGGCUCAACCGUAAAAUUGCAGUUGAAAAUGGCAGUCUUGAGUACAGUAGAGGUGGGCGGAAUUCGUGGUGUAGCGGUGAAAUGCUUAGAUAUCACGAAGAACUCCGAUUGCGAAGGCAGUUCACUGGACUGCAACUGACACUGAGGCUCGAAAGUGUGGGUAUCAAACAGGAUUAGAUACCCCAGUAGUC
rnacentral:rRNA from 1 species